rnacentral:rRNA from 1 species
CCUACGGGACGCAGCAGUGGGGAAUAUUGGACAAUGGGCGAAAGCCUGAUCCAGCCAUGCCGCGUGUGUGAAGAAGGCCUUCGGGUUGUAAAGCACUUUCAGUGGGGAAGAAAGCCUUGGGGCUAAUACCCUCGAGGAAGGACAUCACCCACAGAAGAAGCACCGGCUAACUCCGUGCCAGCAGCCGCGGUAAUACGGAGGGUGCGAGCGUUAAUCGGAAUUACUGGGCGUAAAGCGCGCGUAGGCGGUCUGAUAAGCCGGUUGUGAAAGCCCCGGGCUCAACCUGGGAACGGCAUCCGGAACUGUCAGGCUAGAGUGCAGGAGAGGAAGGUAGAAUUCCCGGUGUAGCGGUGAAAUGCGUAGAGAUCGGGAGGAAUACCAGUGGCGAAGGCGGCCUUCUGGACUGACACUGACGCUGAGGUGCGAAAGCGUGGGUAGCAAACCGGAUUAGAUACCCUAGUAGUC